CUUGUUCAAUUAUAGGAGGUCCAGCCUGCCCAGUGACUUUGUUCAACGGCCGCGGUAUCCUAACCGUGCGAAGGUAGCGUAAUCACUUGUUCUUUAAAUGAGGACUAGUAUGAAUGGCCCCACGAGGGCUGCACUGUCUCCUUUUUCUAAUCAAUGAAACUAAUCUCCCCGUGAAGAAGCGGGAAUAAUCCUAUAAGACGAGAAGACCCUAUGGAGCUUUAAACAACUGAAACAUUUGCUUUUCUCCUAAUUCCUCCCGAGCUCUUUAUUUUCACUUAAGCAUUAUUAUUUCUAGUUUUAGGUUGGGGUGACCACGGAGCAAAACUAAACCUCCAUGAAGAAAUGAAUAUUUUUAAGCCACAAACUACUUUUUUAAGCAUCAACAAAUUGACCUUCAUUGACCCAAUAUAUUGAUCAACGAAC
rnacentral:rRNA from 1 species